rnacentral:rRNA from 1 species
UGGGGAAUAUUGCACAAUGGGCGAAAGCCUGAUGCAGCGACGCCGCGUGAGGGAUGACGGCCUUCGGGUUGUAAACCUCUUUCAGUAGGGACGAAGCGCAAGUGACGGUACCUGCAGAAGAAGCACCGGCUAACUACGUGCCAGCAGCCGCGGUAAUACGUAGGGUGCGAGCGUUGUCCGGAAUUACUGGGCGUAAAGAGCUCGUAGGCGGUUUGUCACGUCGUCUGUGAAAUCCUAGGGCUUAACCCUGGACGUGCAGGCGAUACGGGCUGACUUGAGUACUACAGGGGAGACUGGAAGUUCUGGUGUAGCGGUGGAAUGCACAGAUAUCAGGAAGAACACCGAUGGCGAAGGCAGGUCUCUGGGUAGUAACUGACGCUGAGGAGCGAAAGCAUGGGGAGAGAACAGG